GUCUACGACCAUACCAUGGUGAAUAUACGGCAUCUCGUCCGAUCUGCCAAGUCAAGCACCAUUGGGCUGGGUUAGUACUUGGAACGGAGACGGCCUGGGAACACCCAGUGUUGUAGACUUUU
rnacentral:rRNA from 1 species